GCCGAAGAUGGAGCCGGUGGAGACGGCGGCGUCGAUGUUGGAGGAGCCGUCGAGCGGGUCGAACACCACGAUGUAGUUGCCCGAGUAGCUCUCCUCCACGGCCACCGGCACGUCCUCCUCCUCCGACGCGAUCACGCCGGUGCGCCCGCUCGAUUUGAGGCAGUUGGAGAACACCUCGUUGGAGACGACGUCGAGUUUUUUCUGGUCCAGGGCGCCGUCAACGUGCAGGGCGA
rnacentral:misc_RNA from 1 species